rnacentral:rRNA from 1 species
UACGUAGGGUGCGAGCGUUGUCCGGAAUUAUUGGGCGUAAAGAGCUCGUAGGCGGACUGUCACGUCCGCUGUGAAAAGCUAGGGCUUAACCCUGGCCUUGCAGUGGAUACGGGCAGACGUAGAGGUAGGUAGGGGAGAAUGGAAUUCCCGGUGUAGCGGUGAAAUGCGCAGAUAUCGGGAGGAACGACCGGUGGCGAAGGCGGUUCUCUGGGCCUUACCUGACGCUGAGGUGCGAAAGCGUGGGGAGCAAACAGG